CAUCACGACAGAACGCACGGGCUCACACACAUCUACACAUCCACACCAUACACAGCGACGCGCAAAAGGGUAGCGUUUAUUAUUAUUAUUUUUUUUUUGCUUCCCCUGUAAUUCUCUCCCGCUUUCUCCCUCGGUCUUUGCCGGCCAAGCUGGGUUUAAGGGUGGAUGGAUAUUGCAGUGCAACCGAGUCCACUCCACAGCGACAGGCAAUGAUGUCAUCAUCAAAUGGAGGUGCACGGGCGCACUGGAGCCGGCGGGGCAUCCCUCAGCUGCUGCUUCUCCUUGUUGGGUUUGCCGUUGCCCUCCAGGCCGCCACGCCGGCGCAGGCACUCACCUACCACUUCGUCGACAGCAAGCCGUUGUGCUUUUCCGAGAUUAUUGAGAACGUGCAGACAAGCCAGAUUACUGGCGUGUACGACUGGAAGCCCAGCGCCCACUCGCCCGCCUCACAGGUGCGACUCCGGCUUUCCGCGAAGGACGGCACCGGGAACGUGUACUACGAUAAGGAGAUGAUGGAAGGCGAGCACUCCUUCGCUGUGCAGCUGAACCCCAAUGUCUUGAGUGGGGAGCAGCUCAUCUGUUUCACUGCCUCCUCGAACUUCGUAGCCUCGGAGGAGAAGCCGGUGAAGGUGAGUAUCGAGCUGGAUCAGGCCCCGAAGAACGAAUUCAACGCCGACAAGGUGGUUGUCGAGACAAUACAGAAGCGGCGUCAAAUCGACGGCCUCGACGUUUACACGUACCAGGAGGCGGGGGGAGAGCUGAAAGACAUCCUGCAGCCGCGCGCCUACCUGGAAACCAUAGAUCGAGAGCUGAGUGCGAUGGAGCGGCUGCUAGAUCAGCUAGUGACGAACUUGGGCACCAGCGUGAUGAGGGAGUCUCGCAUGCGUGAGACUUCGGAGAGCACCUUUACACGCGUGUGGGUGUGUGCGCUGCUGCUUAUCGGCAUCAUCUCUGGUGUCCUCUGGAUGCAGUUCCGCUUCCUCAAGUCGACGCUUCGAAAGAAGAAGCUUUUGUGAGAACGCUGGGAAAGGAAGACGACAAACGAAAGUGAGGGCCUACGCGAAUGUGCGCGUUAAAGUGCCCAUGACGCUCCUCAUUUUUUAUCUUCCCCCCCCCCCCUCCCUCCCUUCUCCUCCGCUCGUCACCUCGCUUUUACUUGUUUCGUUGGCCGGAUGUGCGUGUGUCUCUCUCCCUUUCUCUCUGCGUGAAAGUCGCUGUCGUUGGGGAGUGAGGAGGGGGUUGACGAUGAUGGGCUUUUCUUUUUCCUCUAUUGCUUUGUCUUGUUGGUAGUGGUGGUAUGCGUGUGAGUGUGCCAGCUGGCCUCCCCCACCCGUCUGUGUUGUUGUUGUUCCCAGCUUCUCCGCCUCGCCCGGUCUCGGGCAUCCUCCACGUCGCUGACACGGGCACUGAGAGCGGUGGUGAUGGCGGCGGUUCCGGGAAGGCGGCGGCGGUGGGGAGGGCACGAGGCAGCGGUGCGAGAGCUCGCACCUUAUCUCCUUGUAUUUUUCCUCCUCCUCCUUUGCACAGGCCGAUCUGGUCACGUUCUCAGCCUCGGUUGUGUGUGUAUGCGGGAUUGUGCAUCGUUGAAGGGUACGUUGAUGAAGACCGAGAAGAGCGGGGUCGAGACGGUGGGGUCAGUGGCAAGGGAGGAGAUCAUCUUUGCCCAACACCUUGGGCUGCAGCACUUUUCUGGCGCACCUUUUUCUUUUUCGCGAGGUGGAAGCAGACUGGCUGAGCAUGUUUAGUUUCUGUUGCUUCCCGCUGCUACUGCACCACAUCUCUCUGCCUGCGUCUCUGCCUCCCCCACCCUCUGGCUCUGUUCCGUUUCUCUGGCUUCCACUUUGAACGGCAACCCGCUUGCUCCGUGUGCUUUUGCUCCCCAGAAGGCAAUGGCGCUGCGCGUACACGGGCAACGGAGGCGGGGGUGCACAUGGGCGCUUGUGGCCGCUUGCAGGUGCCCGAGUGUCACUUCGAGGGUACCUCGAGGGUGUACCCCACCCUUCACACCUCAGCUUCUUCUCCGGCUGCACAUGCAGCGCGUGGAAGAUCCGAGCGCCGCGUGUACGUGCCUUCCUUUGUGACAAGCGCCGACACAGUAGCAGCAAGGGGCGAAAGCGUGCAAAGAGAAGGGGCACGCUGAUCACUGCGGCUUCCACUUACCCUUCAGCACCAUCCCCACAGCGAGCCUGAUGGCGGGUGAUUUUCGCUGUCUCCGCCCCCUCCACCGGGAGCGAAUGAGUUGC
rnacentral:misc_RNA from 1 species